UUUUUAUACAUGUCCUCUGUUUUUUUAUUCUGUGUUCCCCUCCUGCCUUCUUUGGGGUCAAUCAAUAUUUAUUCAUAUUUCCUUUUAUGUUUUCUGUAUUCAACAUCAGAAUAACUUAAGCAUUGAUUGAGACUUCCAUAACAUCAUGUUAUCUGAUGUCUUUAUAUUUCUGCGCACUGUUGAGACCCAUGUAAAGGCUAUAGCUAAUAGGCUUUCAUUUUACCACAUCCAAUGGAGGGAAAAAGAGGAGUUAAAGGAAAAAAAGAAAAGGACUCAUAGACAUGGAUAACAGGGUGGUAAUUGCUGGGGGAAGACAGGUAUGUGGGGACUAAAUGGUAAUGAAAAAAUACGAUGAAGAUCAUAUCAA